CUGUGGUGGUCGGAGAUGUUGAAGGACUUAGCGAUGAUGAUGAUGGCGAUUUGGGGUUUUACACGGCGAUUUGAUGGUGAAGACGGAGGGUGGUGGAUUGUUGAGCUCGUUAUGAGGGAGAAUCGUGACGGAUGGUGGUGGUGGAGGCGGAUGAAGGUGAGUGGAAGCGAAGGUUUGGAUAUGGUGGCGGCUAGGUCAAGAGGAGAGGAAAACAUUUUUCAUUCUAUUAUUUU
rnacentral:lncRNA from 1 species